CACUGGGUGGCAUUUGCCGGUAAAGGGGCAGCGGAAGUAUUUAUCAACCGGAAGGUUACGAGGGGCUGCAGGUGUUGUUGCCCGGGAAGCGUAACGUUUCUUGACCGUGGUCAUGGCGGAAAAUGAGUCAGAGAUCAACAUGGAAUUCAUGAACACACCCGACAAGACUUGGCCUCAAACGCCGCACUGUGAACGUCACAUGGAGAUGAACCAGCGAGACUGACGUCCUGCUCGGAUCCAAAGUGGUCCGAAGCGGCUGAAGUUCUGCCACAGUCAGAGAAGGACUCCACGUUUUCAUUGUCCGUUACCUGGAAUAUGCUGGCACCGUAAGGAGUCCUCCACGCAUUCAGCAGAUUGUCCUUCCCUGUGCUCACAAACCAUUUGCCUGCAAACACAGAACAGACGUGUUGAUGAUUAAAUCUGAAGGCCUGUA